rnacentral:rRNA from 1 species
UACAGAGGGGGCAAGCGUUAUUCGGAAUUAUUGGGCGUAAAGGCGCGUAGGCGGCCUGGCAAGUGGAAGGUGAAUCCCUCGGCUUAACCGAGGAACUGCCCUCCAAACUGCUUGGCUUGAGUCGGGAGAGGUGAGUGGAAUCCCAGUGUAGCGGUGAAAUGCGUAGAUAUUGGGAGGAACACCAGUGGCGAAGGCGGCUCACUGGACCGGAACUGACGCUGAGGCGCGAAAGCGUGGGGGGAGCAAACAGG